AAAAGCCCGGUGCAAGCGGGGUACCAGUCACUUUGGCAAAUCCGGGUGGCAAUGGGAAGCCGUGAUGCGGAGCGAAAUAAAGUAGUGAAGUCCGUGAGCCAUGCGUCAAGAAAAGCCGCUAUUGUUUAUACCGUACCCGUACCGUAAACCGACACAGGUGGAUGAGGAGAGAAUCCUAAGGCCGGCGGAAGAAGCAUUGUCAAGGAACUCGGCAAAAUGGCCCCGUAACUUAGGGAUAAGGGGUGCCUGGGAAACCAGGCCGCAGAGAAUAGUCUCAAGCAACUGUUUAGCAAAAACACAGGUCUAUGCGAAACCGAAAGGUGAGGUAUAUGGGCUGACGCCUGCCCGGUGCUGGAAGGUUAAGAGGAGAGGUUAGCGGUAACGCGAAGCUUUGAAUUUAAGCCCCAGUAAACGGCGGCCGUAACGAUAACGGUCCUAAGGUAGCGAAAUUCCUUGUCGGGUAAGUUCCGACCCGCACGAAAGGCGUAAUGAUUUGAGCGCUGUCUCGACAAUGCAUCCGGUGAAAUUGAAGUACCAGUGAAGAUGCUGGUUACCUGCGCCAGGACGGAAAGACCCCAUGGAGCUUUACUCCAGUCUGGUACUGGGACUCGGUAUUGCAUGUACAGGAUAGGUGGGAGGCUGAGAUGGUAACGCCAGUUGCCAUGGAGCCGCUGUUGGGAUACCACCCUUGCAGUAUUGGGUUUCUAACCAGCCGCCGUGACCCGGCGGUGGGACAAUGCCAGACGGGGAGUUUGACUGGGGCGGUCGCCUCCGAAAGGGUAUCGGAGGCGCCCAAAGGUUCCCUCAGAAUGGACGGAAACCAUUCGAAGAGUGCAAAGGCAGAAGGGAGCUUGACUGCGACACCGACGGGUGGAGCAGGUACGAAAGUAGGGCUUAGUGAUCCGGUGGUAUUAAGUGGGAAUGCCAUCGCUCAACGGAUAAAAGCUACCCUGGGGAUAACAGGCUUAUCACUCCCAAGAGUUCACAUCGACGGAGUGGUUUGGCACCUCGAUGUCGGCUCAUCGCAUCCUGGGGCUGUAGUAGGUCCCAAGGGUUGGGCUGUUCGCCCAUUAAAGCGGUACGCGAGCUGGGUUCAGAACGUCGUGAGACAGUUCGGUCCCUAUCCGGCGUGGGCGUAGGAUAUCUGAGAGGAGCUGUCCUUAGUACGAGAGGACCGGGAUGGACGGGCCGCUGGUGCAUCGGUUAGACUGCCAAGUCUACGGCCGAGUAGCCAAGCCCGGAAGGGAUAAACGCUGAAGGCAUCUAAGCGUGAAGCCCCCCUUAAGAUGAGAUAUCCCAUUCGAAAGAAGUAAACCCCCUUGAAGACGACGAGGUAGAUAGGGCAGAGGUGGAAGUGCAGCAAUGCAUGGAGCUGACUGUUACUAAUCGGGUGAGGGCUUGACC
rnacentral:rRNA from 1 species